UACGUAGGGUGCAAGCGUUGUCCGGAAUUAUUGGGCGUAAAGAGCUCGUAGGCGGUCUGUCGCGUCUGCUGUGAAAACUCAGGGCUUAACCCUGAGCUUGCAGUGGGUACGGGCAGACUAGAGUGGCGGUAGGGGAGACUGGAAUUCCUGGGUGAUAGCGGUGAAAUGCGCAGAUAGUCAGGAGGGAACACCGGUGGGCCGAAGGCGGGUCUCUGGGCCGUAACUGAACGCUGGAG
rnacentral:rRNA from 1 species